rnacentral:tRNA from 1 species
AGGACAUUAGUUAAAAAUCAUAACAAUUAAAUUGCAUUUAAAAAUCAUAUAAUUUAAUAAAAAUAUUAUAUAUGUCUU